rnacentral:rRNA from 1 species
AGAGUUUGAUCCUGGCUCAGAAUAAACGUUGGCGGUGCGCCUUAUGCAUGCAAGUCGAACGGGGUUACGGUCUUCGGAUUGUAACUUAGUGGCGAACGGCUGAGUAACACGUAAGUAACCUGCCUUGGAGUGGGAAAUAACUUGCCGAAAGGCGAGCUAAUGUCCCAUGUGGUAACGAAGCAAAUGAUUGGUUAUUAAAGCCUUCGGGUGCUCCAAGAGGGGCUUGCGUCUGAUUAGCUAGUUGGUAGGGUAAUGGCCUACCAAGGCGAUGAUCAGUAGCUGGUCUGAGAGGAUGGUCAGCCAGAUGGGGACUGGGACACGGCCCCAACUCCUACGGGAGGCAGCAGCAAGGAAUUUUGGGCAAUGAGCGAAAGCUUGACCCAGCGACACCGCGUGAGGGAAGAAGGCCUUCGGGUUGUAAACCUCUUUUCUUGGGGAAGAAUUUUGACGGUACCCAAGGAAUAAGCCUCGGCCAACUACGUGCCAGCAGCCGCGGUAAUACGUAGGAGGCGAACGUUAUUCGGAUUUACUGGGCGUAAGGGGAGCGUAGGCGGUUCCUUAAGUCAGAUGUGAAAUCUUCUGACUUAAUCAGAAGGCGUCAUUUGAUACUAAGGGACUUGAGAAAAGCAGAGGGAAAUGGAAUCCCCAGUGUAGCGGUGGAAUGCGUAGAUAUUGGGGAGAACACCAGUGGCGAAGGCGAUUUUCCAGGCUAUUUCUGACGCUGAGGCUCGAAAGCGUGGGGAGCGAAGCGGAUUAGAUACCCGCGUAGUCCACGCCGUAAACGGUGGACACUAGACAUAGAAGGUAUCGACCCUUUCUGUGUCGAAGCUAACGCCUUAAGUGUCCCGCCUGGGGAGUACGGCCGCAAGGCUAAAACUCAAAGGAUUUGACGGGGGCCGCACAAGCAGCGGAGCGUGUGGUUUAAUUCGAUGCUACACGAGAACCUUUACCAGACUUGACAUGUCGAAGUAGGAAUCCGAAAAGAGGACGACCUGUUAUCCAGUCAGAGCUUGUCACAGGUGCU